rnacentral:rRNA from 1 species
UACGUAGGGGGGCUAGCGUUGUCCGGAAUCAUUGGGCGUAAAGCGCGUGUAGGCGGUCCGGUAAGUCCGCUGUGAAAGUCGGGGGGCUCAACCCUCGAAUGCCGGUGGAUACUGUCGGGCUAGAGUCCGGAAGGGGCGAGUGGAAUUCCUGGUGUAGCGGUGAAAUGCGCAGAUAUCAGGAGGAACACCAAUGGCGAAGGCAGCUCGCUGGAACGGUACUGACGCUGAGGCGCGAAAGCGUGGGGAGCGAACAGG